GGGACAUGAGGCUAAGUAGUUAGUGUUAUUCUUGUGGAAACAUCUGGAGAUCACAGUUUGUGUGCAGUGGCAAUGCAUACUCUGCAUUUUUAAUUGUCCUGUCAGGAUUUCCUGAGCACAGGAGAGCCACUCCACAGGUCCCGAGCAUUGUCAUAGGGGAAUGUCCAUGGAUACUUUAAGUGGGAAUUCUACUAUACUGGAUGACACCUUUUUAGAUAAUAAGGAUGCAGAGGAGGAGGUAUCUAUCUAUAAGAAUACAAGUAAUUCUACCUGGUGAAGAAUAAGGAUGCAAAUCCUUGGGAUCCGUCACUCUGGAGAUUUCUAUUACAGGGUGGUCACAAGAACUCUAGGGCUGCUGUGUGUGCUCUUGCUGACUGUCAUUUUAGUUAUGUCAGUGGAGAGAUCGCAUUUAAAUUCCACCUUCAGUAACUUGACCUCUGAGAGAGACCUGCUGAAGACUAAUCUCAAGACUUUGCAGGAGGAGAACAAUAAAGUGAAAAGCCGAAAUGCUUAUCUCGAGAAACAUCUACAGGAGGGAUGGACCUAUUUCCAAUCUUCUUUAUACUACGUGUCUACUGAGCAGAAAUAAUGGAAUGAGUCUAGAGAGGACUGCCGAAAGAGGGGAGCAGACUUGGUGAUCGUAAACAACAGAAAUGAACAGGCUUUGACAUUCAACAAUUGACAUCCCAUGUACAUCUUUACACCAAAAUACUUUUUAAAUUACAAAAGUGUGUGAAUCACCCAAGAGGGAAGCUGGUACUGGACUGAAGUUUAAGAGACAUGCGUCACAAAGUAGCUCAUAGGAACAUGUUUAGCAAGGGAAAGGCCUGGUUUGUUUCUGUCUCUUUGUGGUGAUGUUAAAGCUAAUGUUGAUGCGUUUGAUUCUGUGGAUGGAUUAAAUUGCUUAAAAUGUGCUCUAAAUGCGCAGGUAUAUACUGUAUAUGUCCUAUGUGAGACAUGUUCAAUUACUAAACACUAAAAAGUUCACACUGG
ensembl:lncRNA